GCUGGUUGCUCCGUUAUAUGCAUGCUAAUGGGGCAAGUAUGUUUCUCAUUGUGGUUCACCUUCAUAUUUUUCGUGGUCUAUAUUAUGCGAGUUAUUGCAGUCCUAGGGAAUUUGUUCGGUGUCUCGGAGUUGUCAUAUUCCUAUUAAUGAUUGUGACAGCUUUUAUAGGAUACGUACCACCUUGGGGUCAGAUGAGCUUUUGGGGAGCUACAGUAAUUACAAGCUUAGCUAGCGCCAUACCAGUAGUAGGAGAUACAAUAGUGACUUGGCUUUGGGGUGGUUUCUCCGUGGACAAUGCAACCUUAAAUCGUUUUUUUAGUCUCCAUUAUUUACUCCCCCUU
rnacentral:lncRNA from 1 species